rnacentral:rRNA from 1 species
GCGUCAGGUCUACACAUGCAGUCGGACGGUAGCACAGAGAGCUUGCUCUUGGGUGACGAGUGGCGGACGGGUGAGUAAUGUCUGGGGAUCUGCCCGAUAGAGGGGGAUAACCACUGGAAACGGUGGCUAAUACCGCAUAACGUCGCAAGACCAAAGAGGGGGACCUUCGGGCCUCUCACUAUCGGAUGAACCCAGAUGGGAUUAGCUAGUAGGCGGGGUAAUGGCCCACCUAGGCGACGAUCCCUAGCUGGUCUGAGAGGAUGACCAGCCACACUGGAACUGAGACACGGUCCAGACUCCUACGGGAGGCAGCAGUGGGGAAUAUUGCACAAUGGGCGCAAGCCUGAUGCAGCCAUGCCGCGUGUAUGAAGAAGGCCUUCGGGUUGUAAAGUACUUUCAGCGGGGAGGAAGGCGACGGGGUUAAUAACCCUGUCGAUUGACGUUACCCGCAGAAGAAGCACCGGCUAACUCCGUGCCAGCAGCCGCGGUAAUACGGAGGGUGCAAGCGUUAAUCGGAAUUACUGGGCGUAAAGCGCACGCAGGCGGUCUGUUAAGUCAGAUGUGAAAUCCCCGGGCUUAACCUGGGAACUGCAUUUGAAACUGGCAGGCUUGAGUCUUGUAGAGGGGGGUAGAAUUCCAGGUGUAGCGGUGAAAUGCGUAGAGAUCUGGAGGAAUACCGGUGGCCGAAGGCGGCCCCCUGGACAAAGACUGACGCUCAGGUGCGAAAGCGUGGGGAGCAAACAGGAUUAGAUACCCUGGUAGUCCACGCCGUAAACGAUGCCAACUUUGGAGGUUGUUCCCUUGAGGAGUGGCUUCCGGAGCUAACGCGUUAAGUCGACCGCCUGGGGGAGUACGGCCGCAAGGUAAAACUCAAAUGAAAUUGACGGGGGCCCGCACAAGCGGUGGGAGCAUGGGGGUUAAUUCGAUGCAACGCGAAGAACCUUACCUACUCUUGACUUCCCGGGAAUUCGCAGAAAAGGCUUUGGGGCUUCGGAACCCGGAAAAGGGGUUGCUGGGUGGCUCACCCCCGGGGGGGAAAAGGGGGGGUAAACCCCCACAAGGGGAACC